rnacentral:lncRNA from 1 species
CACAAACACACUCACAAAUUCAACACAGUACCUAACAUCAUAUGCAAAUUUUGUUUUCACUGCAAUUUACAUUUACAUAAGAAAGAAAAAUCUCCAUUUACAUCAAAAUCUCUCUCAGAGUCUGUUCUUUGGCAUAAAAAAGCACCUCAUAAAGUAAGAAGGUAUCACAUUUUGAAAUUAAAUCAUUAAAAUAUUUAUUUCUAAUUAAAAAAUCAAAUGAAACUUGCUUCCAAAUCAGCAGCAAUGCUAGGUGCUAUUCCUGAUUGUUGUCCAACUUUAACAUGAAUUAAUAUGAACUCAUGCUAAUUCAAAUGAAACUUGCUUCCAAAUCAGCAGCUUCCAGCCGUAUUUGCAUUCUAAGUAACAGAAAAUCAAGAACUCAUGAAGUGAGAUUGAUAGACAUGUUAGAGUAGGAUAGACUAAAGACCACCAAACAUAAUAACAAUAUGUGCAACAUCAAUCUAGCUAUGAUAGUGCAAAGAUAGCAAUCAAAUUUGCAGACAGAUAUGAAAGCCAAAGAAUGAAUUGAAGCCACUUUUUGGCUAUGGCCUUCGAGUGGUUUCCAUAACCAAUCAGAUCUAUUUGUAAGGGGAAACUAAUCACAUGCUACUAAAGAAGAUGAAUGGAAUAAAACUCGCCUAGAAAUUUUAGACCCGACUAAAACAACUCUUUGCUUUAUGUAGCACUGUUGUUGAAAGUACAAUAACCAAAUCAAAAACAUAUGCUGAUACUAAAUCGUAAUGUGAUAAUUACACACUCAUGCAAGCAAGACUUCCAAUCACACUAAAGUUUGAUUAAUUGAACCAUAGUAGAACAAUGAUUAAUUAUAAAAUCUAAUAUUGCCUUCGAAAAGUGACUUUUAAUAUAUGUAAUGAUGAUAAAUAGAUGUAGAAUUGAUGAACUAAGUCAGUAAAACUAUAUAUGCAUCACAGUAGUGCAACACCAAACACACGUCUCUAUCUCUUAUCUGGUGAAUAUAUACAUAUGCAUCAAAGUAGUGCAACACCAAACACACAUCUCUAUCUCUUAUCUGGUGAAUAUAUACAUAUAAUGGACUGAGAAAAAUCUCCAUGAGUACUGGUCUCACAUGUUUCGUGGCUUACUUGAAAUGAGAGCAAGAUAAGAUCUUGAGUCAUCAAUCAUGUUUCAUCGUCAGCUAGCUGAGAAUCAGAGAGUGUGGUCAGAAAGAGGUAUGCACCUCAUUGCCGUUCUGUACCUACGGAUAAAUUCAUGUCAAAUGUUU